UUCCUGCACCAAGCCCGUAACUUCUCUUAUGGUGACUUGGAAAGACAGCAGGUCUUGAAUUAAAGACAUCAAGUGAUGGAGAGCCCACCACUGCCCUAGGGAGGUUCGCUCCAGUAGUUAAUUAUCCUUUGUGCUUUAUUUCUAGUCUGGCUUCAUCUUGCUGCGCGUGGGCCGGACGUUACAAACUUGGGAGUAAGUUAGUCAUUGCCCUUUCAAACCUCUGCGAUUGUCGCUUACCGUAUUCCCCCCAAGCAUUAUUUAAAAGCACACAAGGACCUGUGGGGUGCUGCCGGCCGUACUGAAACCUCCGAGAGCUUCUUUUUCCAAAUUAAAGCUUGAGUGAGACAGAAAUGAGUCGGGAGAGGGAGAGGCGAACCUCCCAGCAUCUGCAAAUUGCUACAGAAAGCAGCGGCAGCACCUGGGGAUGCUGACUGGGGCCAAGACCGUCUGCCGGCAGCAGCAUGGAAAUCAAACGGAGGGUGUGCAGUUUGGCAACAACAUACAGAGAAACCAAAUCAUUUCGCCAAGGAAGGAGACGUGGCCUUCACAACCAUGCGUAGAUCUCGACUGGACCUGGAGAGCAAAGUUGGUGGCUGAUGCUCAGAUCUGUGUUCUAAUUUGCACCUGCGCAUUAGAGAUUGACAGUUAAAUAUAGUAGACCUCCAGCUCUUCUAGAUGAAGGCUUCCUCUUCUCCAAGGUAUCAAAGGUAAGCUACUUAUCCUCCCUUUCAAGGGAACUCUCUGGCCUAACUCCACCCUGCAUG
rnacentral:lncRNA from 1 species